CCUACGGGAGGCAGCAGUGGGGAAUAUUGGACAAUGGGGGCAACCCUGAUCCAGCCAUGCCGCGUGUGUGAAGAAGGCCCUCGGGUUGUAAAGCACUUUCAGUGAGGAAGAACGCCUGGUGGUUAAUACCCAUCAGGAAAGACAUCACUCACAGAAGAAGCACCGACUAACUCCGUGCCAGCAGCCGCGGUAAUACGGAGGGUGCGAGCGUUAAUCGGAAUUACUGGGCGUAAAGCGCGCGUAGGUGGCUUGAUAAGCCGGUUGUGAAAGCCCCGGGCUCAACCUGGGAACGGCAUCCGGAACUGUCAAGCUAGAGUGCAGGAGAGGAAGGUAGAAUUCCCGGUGUAGCGGUGAAAUGCGUAGAGAUCGGGAGGAAUACCAGUGGCGAAGGCGGCCUUCUGGACUGACACUGACACUGAGGUGCGAAAGCGUGGGUAGCAAACAGGAUUAGAUACCCUAGUAGUC
rnacentral:rRNA from 1 species